UUAUGCAGUCUCAUUGUAGCCA
rnacentral:siRNA from 1 species